UACGUAGGGCGCGAGCGUUGUCCGGAUUUAUUGGGCGUAAAGAGCUCGUAGGCGGCUCGUUGCGUCAGCUGUGAAAACCCGCAGCUCAACUGUGGGCUUGCAGCUGAUACGGGCGGGCUAGAGUUCGGUAGGGGAGACUGGAAUUCCUGGUGUAGCGGUGAAAUGCGCAGAUAUCAGGAGGAACACCGGUGGCGAAGGCGGGUCUCUGGGCCGAUAUUGACGCUGAGGAGCGAAAGCGUGGGGAGCGAACAGG
rnacentral:rRNA from 1 species